CCUACGGGUGGCAGCAGUGAGGAAUAUUGGUCAAUGGACGAGAGUCUGAACCAGCCAAGUAGCGUGAAGGAUGACUGCCCUAUGGGUUGUAAACUUCUUUUAUAUGGGAAUAAAAUGUUCCACGUGUGGGAUUUUGUAUGUACCAUAUGAAUAAGGAUCGGCUAACUCCGUGCCAGCAGCCGCGGUAAUACGGAGGAUCCGAGCGUUAUCCGGAUUUAUUGGGUUUAAAGGGCGCGUAGGUGGAUUGUUAAGUCAGUUGUUAAAGUUUGCGGCUCAACCGUAAAAUUGCAGUUGAAACUGGCAGUCGUGAGUACAGUAGAGGUGGGCGGAAUUCGUGGUGUAGCGGUGAAAUGCUUAGAUAUCACGAAGAACUCCGAUUGCGAAGGCAGCUCACUGGACUGCAACUGACACUGAGGCACGAAAGUGUGGGUAUCAAACAGGAUUAGAUACCCCUGUAGUC
rnacentral:rRNA from 1 species